CUUCUUCGAUCUGCUGCGGGCUGAUGAAAUGAAUGUGCGUAUCGAUGCCGCCCGCCGUCACGAUCAGGCCUUCGCCCGCGAUCACUUCGGUGGACGCGCCGAUCGCGAUCGUCACAUUUGGCUGGAUGUCGGGAUUGCCGGCUUUGCCGAUCGCGGCGAUGCGGCCGUUCUUGAUGCCGAUGUCGGCCUUGACGAUGCCCCAGUGAUCGAGAAUCACCGCAUUCGUCACGACCGUAUCGACCACGUCGGCAUGCACGCGUUGCGACUGGCCCAUGCCGUCGCGAAU
rfam:Burkholderia sp. OLGA172 chromosome 1, complete sequence.